rnacentral:rRNA from 1 species
CCAGCAGCUGCGGUAAUUCCAGCUCCAAUAGCGUAUAUUAAAGUUGUUGCAGUUAAAAAGCUCGUAGUUGAAGUUCUGGCUGUUCGGUCCUCGAGCUUCGUAGCCGAGGAAUCGACAGUCAUCCGCUUGCAAAUAUAUGUUCGCCUUUAACCGGGCGGCUAUAUGAGCAAGCAUUUUACCUUGAGAAAAACAGAGUGUUCCAGGCAGGUUUGUCCGGAAUGCAUUAGCAUGGAAUAAUAGAAUAUGACUGAAGUCGAUUUAUUGGUUUGAGGCUUUAGUAAUGAUUAAUAGGAACAGUCGGGGGCAUUGGUACUUGUCAGUCAGAGGUGAAAUUCUAGGAUUUGACAAAG